rnacentral:rRNA from 1 species
GAUCCUGGCUCAGGAUGAACGCUAGCUACAGGCUUAACACAUGCAAGUCGAGGGGCAGCAUGUUGGUUGCUUGCAACCAAUGAUGGCUACCGGCGCACGGGUGAGUAACGCGUAUCCAACCUACCCUUGUCCAUCGGAUAACCCGUCGAAAGGCGGCCUAACACGAUAUGCGGUUCACAGCAGGCAUCUAACGUGAACGAAAUGUGAAGGGGAAGGAUGGGGAUGCGUCUGAUUAG